rnacentral:rRNA from 1 species
UUUCCGUAGGUGAACCUGCGGAAGGAUCAUUGUCAAAACCUUGCUGCAAAGUGACUUGAGAACUUUUCCAAGAGUAGAACUGCAGUGUUGGGGCCAUCUUUAGGGUUUGGCCUCGACGUGAACAAAAACACCGGCGCAUUAGCGCCAAGGAAUUUAUCACGAGAUUGCUAGCUCGCAUAGCUUGUUUAUAGUGUGCCUGUGUGGGUGGCGUCUUUUUAUUAAAAAUGACUCUCGGCAAUGGAUAUCUCGGCUCUUGCAUCGAUGAAGAACGUAGCGAAAUGCGAUACGUGGUGUGAAUUGCAGAAUCCCGUGAACCAUCGAAUCUUUGAACGCAAGUUGCGCCUGAAGCCAUUAGGUUGACGGCACGUUUGCUUGGGUGUCAUGCAUUGUGUCCUCCCUCUUAUUGUAGCGGGAGUUUAGCGUGGCCUCCCGGGCCCAUCCUCGGGCGUGGUUGGCCGAAAAUAUUGUCCUUGAUGGUGUUCAAUGUCUUGGUGUGCGGUGGAUGUACUGAGUGUGCAUAAUGGCGCACCUUGCUUUGCGUUACUGUGGCGGUUGGUCCCUACGAAGCGGACAAAGUCGGCUCUUUGAUUGCGACCCCAAGUCAG